GAUGAACGCGGGCGGCGUGCCUAACACAUGCAAGUCGAACGGGAUGCGUAUUGAAAGCUUCGGCCGGAAGAUACGUUAUCUAGUGGCGGACGGGUGAGUAACACGUGGGUAACCUGCCUUAUGGAGGGGGAUAACAGAGAGAAAUCACUGCUAAUACCGCAUAAGCACACAGUACCGCAUGGUACAGGGUGAAAAGAUUUAUCGCCAUAAGAUGGACCCGCGUCUGAUUAGCCAGUUGGCAGGGUAAAAGCCUACCAAAGCAACGAUCAGUAGCCGAUCUGAGAGGAUGACCGGCCACAUUGGGACUGAGACACGGCCCAAACUCCUACGGGAGGCAGCAGUGGGGAAUAUUGCACAAUGGGGGAAACCCUGAUGCAGCGACGCCGCGUGAGUGAAGAAGUAUUUCGGUAUGUAAAGCUCUAUCAGCAGGGAAGAUAAUGACAGUACCUGACUAAGAAGCCCCGGCUAACUACGUGCCAGCAGCCGCGGUAAUACGUAGGGGGCAAGCGUUAUCCGGAUUUACUGGGUGUAAAGGGAGCGUAGACGGAAUGGCAAGUCUGAAGUGAAAUACCCGGGCUCAACCUGGGAACUGCUUUGGAAACUGUUGUUCUAGAGUGUUGGAGAGGUAAGUGGAAUUCCUGGUGUAGCGGCGAAAUGCGUAGAUAUCAGGAAGAACACCGGAGGCGAAGGCGGCUUACUGGACAAUAACUGACGUUGAGGCUCGAAAGCGUGGGGAUCAAACAGG
rnacentral:rRNA from 1 species